rnacentral:ncRNA from 1 species
CUUAUCAAGAGCAGCAGAGGGACAGGCCCUGUGAAGCUGCAGCAGCGGUGCCGCGCACUGUGCUAAAUCCUGCGGAGCGAUCCGGCAGAUGAG